rnacentral:lncRNA from 1 species
UUCAUAAUGACAGAGAAUGGCCUCUAAAUUUUCUGUUUUGAUGAGUACAAGGCAUGGCUAAAGUGCAAGUAUGGAUGGCAUGGUGUAAUUGUACUUUUAUCCAAAUUUCAAGCAAGUUGAAGAAUGGCUUCAUGUACUGCAUAAUUGAGCUUGCAAACACAUUCUAAAUGACAUUUAUGAGCUGUUCCAAUUGGCCAAAUGUUGAAAAAAUGUUUAAAUCAAAAAGUCAACUCUUGGUCAAACUUACAUUUAAAUGAAAAAGGUCAAAAUAUGCCAUUUUGAUUGGUGAAGUUUUGGCUCAUGAAAUUUAUAUUUUUGGAAAGAGGGGAUCAAAUGUGACUUGUAGGAAAAAACCCCACCAAAAUUGGCCAAACGGUUUGAGAGAUAUGG